UUCAACAAAAAUAAUUACUAUUAAACCAACAAAAGAAAUCCCUAGAAGCCUAAAGAAAAGGGGGGAAAGAUGAGGCCGAUGCCGAUGGAAUUCGUGACGGACCCAGACGACCAAGGUUGAGCCAUGGAAGUCAACGAUGUUGACACACCGGAGAUCUUCGGCGAAGGCGUCGUCGCUUCCGACGAUUUUGAUGACUCCGAUAUCGACUAAAAAAAUAAAGAAGAAUCGUUUCAAGUCUUCGGGUUCAACUACAUAAUACAAAUUCCACCUCUGAACUUCAUUUUUCCUUCAAAAUAAAGCUUCGAUUUGAUCUCUUUUAGUGAGACAAAUGCUGAAAAUCUUAUGCAUGCUUUACAAUAUAACAGCUAUGGCGGAGGCGCUGCUGCUUUGAAGGGACUUGAUUUUAUAACGCUGUGAAUUUUUGUGCUUUUUACAGCAUGUUGAAGUUCCGAUCCUAACUCCAAAUAAAGACUGGUCAAGCUAUGGCAAGUGUUCUCAAUGUUGUACAAACAUCUCAUUCGUAUGGGGAUUUAAUGCUUCUAAUGAAAGCUGCUGAACUGCAACAAGUGUGUGCUUCUCUUGGUGGUUUUUUUUUUACUACGUUUUUAAGUGAUAAAACUUAUGUUAACUUUGUGCGGAAUCGGGUUUCGUAACACAUGAUGCAUCUGAAUAUCUAUUUGUUUUAUUGUUAAUAAUUCUUUUAACAUUUUAACUUAUCAUAGAUGCUAUGUUUUGAUUUAGCAUUCUUGUUUAUCAUUUAAAGAAAUUGUCUAGAAUUUUAAUAGCAAAAAUUGGAAUUUUUUUUAUUGUUGUCUAUGUUUUACUUGUGAAUUGUGAUUGCAAUGGUUUACCUUCCUUUGGUGUAAAAUCUACUUGGCCAAUUGGAAUGUUCAAUGAUUUAUUUAGCCCUUGUACUCAGCAAUAUUACUUCUAAUUGUACUGCAACACAUCUAUAUGCCCAUUUCUUACCUGUAAUCAUGUUGCAUAUGCUUUGGCUUUUUAAAUCGUGAAUCAUGAUUAAUGAAAAUGAGAUGGAUAGCUGAUGCCUUUCCUGAUUUUCAGGUUUGACAAGGAACUGAACAAGUAAGUUGCUAUUAAAGUUAUUGAUUUAGAAGAAUCUUAAGUGGAUACCUUUGUUAUAUUUUCCUUGAUUUAUUCCUCAUUAAAGUGUCUUGUAGCAGGUGCUUGCUAUGAGCAGAAAAGUAUGAAUGAAUGUGAUUAUCAACUUUACAAAUAUACAUAGUAAAGUUUAAAGUAUGAAUCGAAUUGCUAUGAGCAGCAAAUUUAGGGAUAAAACAAUGUCACACCAAAUUGCUAUGAGGAACAAAGAAAAUUUUUUUAAUUGCAGAAAACCAACUUCCCCUUUCCCAUACUGCCAGAAAAUUUAGGGACUGCACGACUUGUGGUUGAUUUUGAUAGGUGGUGGACUGGUGAGGAAUCUGUGAAUGUUCUCUUAGAAGCCGCAGGCCAAGGUAAAGUCUUCCCUUUCCAGAUUCGGAACUUAAUUUAUUUAUUUUUAUUAUUUUAGAAUUUUUAUAUUUAUAAUUUUUUUUCCUUAUCCUAAAUUUUUUUUCUUGAAAAUCACAAAUUAAUUUUAUUAAUUUAAGACAGUCUAAUAAGUUUAUAUUUGAAUUUUUUAGACAACCGUAUUUUCUUUUUCUAUUUCCCACACUUGGGUAUGAUAAUGGUAGCAGUGAAGUAGAGGUUCUCACACCGAAAAAGGUGAAUAAAAUCACAAGUUUCCCUCUCAUUAUCAUUUUCCUAAAAUGAAAUCAUUUUGACUUCUUUUUAUGAAGACUUUCGUGAUACAAUCCCAUUUAUCAUUCAUACAUACCUACGUGUAUAUAUAUAUUAGAUUAUAUACAUGCACGACAUGAAUGAAAUUGAUAUAAUAAUUAAAUAUGGUAAUACUUGAGUUAUUAAAAACUAUAAUAUUUUGAGUUUGAGUCCUAUAAAUAUAUUUUGAGAAAUUAUUUUGUCAAUUGCUGGUGGAGUUUUUACAGCGUUGAAAUGCUAUCAUGUGUCCUAAAAAAAAUUAAAAAUAAAUUAAAACAAGCAUGUGCCAUGAACUAAAUCUUUGUUUUGAGCAGGUAAGUCCAUGGAACAAUUUUUUAUCCUUGUAGUUCAUGUUUUAUUUUGAUUUUUCUGUGAUUAAACUCUAGUACUCAGGGCAGUAGUUGUUGGGAUGUAAAAUCUGUUGUCUAUCUGCCUCAAUAUAUGACAAAAGGCAAAAGUACAUAUUGGAGAUACUCUCACAUGCACAUUCAUUCGUUUGAAACACGAUAUCUAGUUAUUUGUCUUUGAACUGAGUUGAAGUACAUAUCUAGUUGCCUUAUGCCCUAUUUUCGUUUAAGGACUGCCAAGGAAAUUCUGAAACUGAAAGCUGAUUGAUCGGAUGUGUAUGCCGGCUUUCAUCAACUACUUUCGAAGGCCAAUAUAGGAAUUGAAAUGGUGUGCAAAGAGAUUGCUUCUUCUGAUCUGAUUUUUCGAUAUAAAUACUGGACAAAGUAUGGAUAUUUUACUGCUGUUAGUAAAAUAGGAUUCUCUUCUUAGGAUCUUAGUUUCUUCACUUGUAUUAGACUCAACAAUGGCUUGCAUUGCAUUGGUGUUGAUUUUACCAAAAUUUCGAGGUUUACAAUUUUUAAUUUUUAUUAAUUAUUUACGUUUUCUCA